AUCGCUUCUCGGCCUUUUGGCUAAGAUCAAGCGUAGUAUCAGAUUCCUUUCCACUAUAGGUUUUUAGUUUUUGCUUUCUAGGUUUU
rnacentral:snRNA from 1 species